rnacentral:lncRNA from 1 species
CACAGUGCGUCCAAAACACAACGCGUCUUGGUGGAAAGUAACACGUUUCAAGAAAAUGGACCGUGCCCAUCUUGAUAUUUUUAAAAGAUGUUUUUCAAUUAUAUUUUUAGUAUGAGUGAUAAACAUGUGAGUUACGAGAGACGCAUGAGGUAAGAAGUGGAGAAAUCCUAGUGAGAGAAGUUUUGAGAGUUAAUGUGAGAGCUUUUUAGGAUUGAAGACUAAGAAUUG